AACACACAAUAUGUUGUUGCAGGGAUGGAGCCUGCACGUCCAUUGGAUGGUAGUGAGCAAGGGGGGAAACGGAAAGCCCCUGCAAGUAAGAACAUCUUGUGAGCUGUGGUGUGGGUACCUGCCUCUAAAUAGGGCUGCAUGAAGGGCAAUGCGUGUGACGGAGGAGAGAGGAAAGGACAUGGCAGAUCUGUACUGACUGCAGAAGUGGCACAACAUUGUAGCAGCGGAAAGGCAAACUGAAGAAACUGCUCUUGAAGAGGAGUUUGUGGUUGACUGUGCUAAAAUCUUCCACUAAAGAGGUGCUCUUCAUGUAUUUCUUGUUUCCUUUCUGUCAGAAGCUGAUGCAAGUGGCCUUCCAGCAAAGUGCAGCCUUGCAGAAAGCCGGGGCAGAAGCACAGUGUGACGUUGCACCAAAGAGAGUUACAGACACACAACAAGCAUCUGGGUUUGGUGCACUGUCUUUCUAGUGAUGACCAGCUUGGAUGUGCCAGAUGACAUCAUGGACGUUCAGAGUCUGCUUUCUUAGAUCAAUGGUUACAGAGUUCCUCUAUGCUAUGUGCCAGUGCAAUACCUCUGAACAAUUUUGAUGGGUUCAGCAAAGCUCAGAGUGACAGACUUUGGUCAUCCUCAGGUCGACAUGAUGAGAGAGAG
rnacentral:lncRNA from 1 species